GGUUAGCUCAGUUGGUUAGAGUGUAGUGCUAAUAAUGAAAAGGUUGCUGGUUCGAUCCCCGUAAGGGACA